rnacentral:rRNA from 1 species
UUGGAGGGCAAGUCUGGUGCCAGCAGCCGCGGUAAUUCCAGCUCCAAUAGUGUAUAUUAAAGUUGUUGCAGUUAAAAAGCUCGUAGUUGAAUUUCGGGAUUGACGUGAUGGUCAUGCCUUAAGGGGUAUGAACUGUUACUGUUGAUUUCUCACCUUCUGGAGAAACUUGAUGUCCUUUAUUGGGUGUCUUGCGGAUCCAGGACCUUUACCUUGAAAAAAUUAGAGUGUUAAAGCAGGCAUUUUUGCUCGAAUACAUUAGCAUGGAAUAAUAGAAUAGGACGGCAUGGUUCUAUUUUGUUGGUUUCUAGGAUCACCGUAAUGAUUAAUAGGGAUAGUUGGGGGCAUUAGUAUUCAAUUGUCAGAGGUGAAAUUCUUGGAUUUAUUGAAGACUAACUACUGCGAAAGCAUUUGCCAAGGAUGUUUUCAUUAAUCAAGAACGAAAGUUAGGGGAUCGAAGACGAUCAGAUACCGUCGUAGUCUUAACCAUAAACUAUGCCGACUAGGAAUCAGACGAUGUUAAUUUUUUAAUGACUCGUUUGGCACCUUACGGGAAACCAAAGUGUUUGGGUUC